AUUGAACGCUGGCGGCAGGCCUAACACAUGCAAGUCGAACGAGUGGCGGACGGGUGAGUAAUGUCUGGGAAACUGCCUGAUGGAGGGGGAUAACUACUGGAAACGGUAGCUAAUACCGCAUACCAUCGGAUGUGCCCAGAUGGGAUUAGCUAGUAGGUGGGGUAACGGCUCACCUGGGCGACGCUCCCUAGCUGGUCUGAGAGGAUGACCAGCCACACUGGAAUGGAUACACGGGCAAGACUCCGACGGGAGGCAGCAGUGGGGAAUAUGGCAAAAUGGGCGAAAGCAUGAUGCAGCCAUGCCGCGUGUAUGAAGAAGGCCUUGGGGGUGUAAAGUACUUUCAGCGGGGAGGCGUUACCCGCAGAAGAAGAACCGGUUAACUCCGUGCCAGCAGCCGCGGGAAGAC
rnacentral:rRNA from 1 species